rnacentral:misc_RNA from 1 species
CCAAAGGAUGCAGGAGGGAAGGGCAAAGGGAAGCAGGCAGGAGGUGCAAGUGAUGAGAGUGCUUCAAAGGGUAAAGGGAAAGCUGGAAAAUCAGAUGGACUUGGCACCUGCACAUAUGUAAAAGCAAGGCAUAUCUUAUGUGAGAAGCAAGGUAAAAUCAAUGAAGCAUACAAGAAACUGCAAGAUGGUUGGCUUAGCAAUGGAGACAAAGUCCCACCUGCAGAGUUUGCAAAGCUAGCAGCAGAAUACUCAGAAUGUCCUUCUGGGAAAUUGUUUGACACUUUAAGAUCUACUUUGUUAAAGAUAACAGAUUAAUAUUUUUUUUUUUAUUGUAAGUGUUUAGUAGUUGGGAAAAAAAAU